AACAAACGCUGGCGGCGUGCCUAACACAUGCAAGUCGUACGAGAGAGGGUCCUUCGGGGCCUGAGUAAAGUGGCGCACGGGUGAGUAACGCGUGGAUAAUCUGCCCUUCAGUUGGGAAUAACUCAUCGAAGGGUGGGCUAAUACCGAAUAAUGCUGUGAGACCUGGGUUGAUCAGCCAAAGAGAGCCUCUGCUUGCAAGCCCUCGCUGAAGGAUGAGUCCGCGUACCAUUAGCUAGUUGGUAGGGUAAUGGCCUACCAAGGCGACGAUGGUUAGCUGGUCUGAGAGGAUGAUCAGCCACACUGGAACUGAGACACGGUCCAGACUCCUACGGGAGGCAGCAGUGAGGAAUCUUGCGCAAUGGGGGCAACCCUGACGCAGCAACGCCGCGUGAGUGAGGAAGGUCUUCGGAUCGUAAAGCUCUGUCGGAUGGAAAGAACCGCAUAGGGGUAAACAGCCCCUGUGUCUGACGGUACCAUCAAAGGAAGCACCGGCUAACUCCGUGCCAGCAGCCGCCGUAAGAC
rnacentral:rRNA from 1 species